CCUUUGAUACUGCAGGUCUUGAGUCAUGGUGGGGUUGCCGGAACAUGUGGUGUAGCGGUGAAAUGCAUAGAUAUCACAUAGAACACCGAUCGCGAAGGCAGGUGACCAACCAUGUACUGACGCUGAUGGACGAAAGCGUGGGUAGCGAACGGGAUUAGAUACCCCGGUAGUCCACGCCGUAAACGAUGGAUACUAGCUGUGGGGACUUCGGUCUCCGUGGCCAAGCGAAAGUGAUAAGUAUCCCACCUGGGGAGUACGUUCGCAAGAAUGAAACUCAAAGGAAUUGACGGGGGCCCGCACAAGCGGUGGAGCAUGUGGUUUAAUUCGAUGAUACGCGAGGAACCUUACCAGGGCUUAAAUGCAGGCUGCAUGGGGUAGAGAUACCCCUUUCUUCGGACCGCCUGCAAGGUGCUGCAUGGUUGUCGUCAGCUCGUGCCGUGAGGUGUCAGGUUAAGUCCUAUAACGAGCGCAACCCCUACCGUUAGUUGCCAGCAUGUCAAGAUGGGGACUCUAACGGGACUGCCGGUGCAAACCGUGAGGAAGGUGGGGACGACGUCAAAUCAUCACGGCCCUUACGUCCUGGGCUACACACGUGCUACAAUGGCCGGUACAGAGGGAAGCCACCCCGCAAGGGGGCGCGGAUCUACAAAACCGGUCACAGUUCGGAUCGGGGUCUGCAACUCGACCCCGUGAAGCUGGAAUCGCUAGUAAUCGGAUAUCAGCCAUGAUCCGGUGAAUACGUUCCCGGGCCUUGUACACACCGCCCGUCAAGCCAU
rnacentral:rRNA from 1 species